GAGGGUAUAGCUCAAGUGGUAGAGCACAUGCUUAGCAUGCAUGAGGUCCUGGGUUCAACCCCUAGUACCGUCU
rnacentral:tRNA from 1 species